CUGGACCCUAGGAUGCCCAGAGUCCAUUUCCUGUUGUGUCGGUCCGGUGAAAGUGAUACGCCUUUCUGAAAUGGGGUUACUGUCCUGAUAUUCAGCGUCAUGCGGAUCAGACUGAGUUGGAGCAGGCUCAGCCACAGGUCCCAUGUCCCCAGUCUCAUCUCGUCCGUCACCUCUCCUGAGGGGGGAGGUUCUGUCACGACCAGCUCAUCCAAUCCUUACACCUGUUCCUGACCCAGUUUCAAAAUCCACACAGACUUUGAGCAGUCUAUUUCAGAGCUCCGCUGACCCAGGCAAGACUGGACUCAACUCUUCAAACCACCCCUUUUAAGGAAUGCAAAGCCCUGCCGGCUCCUGAGAAUAACUGGAGCAAUACAGAAAAAGCAAGACCUUUCACCCCCUGGAGUGGCCGGAGUUCCACAGUCAAUCCACAGAACAACAGCUGUCAGUCCCCAGACACAGACACCUUUUCCACUAGAAAAAGGAUAACUCACCACACAUAGAUGUUAAGGACAAAUACACGCAUGUUUGGUCUCGUUUGAAUGGGCAUGAGAUGGCGAAUAUUAUACUCUCAGAGUUAAGGCAGUAGAACUUUCCCCAAGGGAAAUAUAGAUAAUUUGGCUAAAUCUACAAAAAUGAGAGAGCCUCCCACAUGGUAGAACAAGGGAAUUAUAACCACCCCCUAAAGUGAUCUGAUUGGCUGGGGACUUGAGAACCAAGGCCAGCAAUGGCCCUAAAAUUAACUAUUGACCGAAAUUGGUCAAUCUUCAGAGACAUGCCAUCACCUGGUUGGGAUACUUAAGGAAGGGCCUCAGAAGAGGUCGGGGAGUCACUCUGUAGUCAGAGCUCCCACAAAGAACUGGGCGAAAGUCUUAUUAGCCAUCUCUCUGAUUUGACUUUCCUUGCCGGCCUCAGGAGAAUGGGCUCCCCGUUUGAGUCUGGUCCCUCCCAAGGUUUCUUCCUUCUAGGGAGUUUUUCCUUGCCACUGUCGCCUCUGGCUUACUCCCUGGGGACUUUGGGCAGGGAUGCUGUAAAGCACUUUGAGACAAUGUAAUGUUGUGAAAACGUGGUAUACAAAAAUAAAUUUGUUGUUGUAAAGAA